GAUGAACGCUGGCGGCGUGCCUAAUACAUGCAAGUCGAGCGAACAGACGAGGAGCUUGCUCCUCUGACGUUAGCGGCGGACGGGUGAGUAACACGUGGAUAACCUACCUAUAAGACUGGGAUAACUUCGGGAAACCGGAGCUAAUACCGGAUAAUAUAUUGAACCGCAUGGUUCAAUAGUGAAAGACGGUUUUGCUGUCACUUAUAGAUGGAUCCGCGCCGCAUUAGCUAGUUGGUAAGGUAACGGCUUACCAAGGCAACGAUGCGUAGCCGACCUGAGAGGGUGAUCGGCCACACUGGAACUGAGCCACGGUCCAGACUCCUACGGGAGGCAGCAGUAGGGAAUCUUCCGCAAAGGGCGAAAGCCUGACGGAGCAACGCCGCGUGAGUGAUGAAGGUCUUCGGAUCGUAAAACUCUGUUAUUAGGGAAGAACAAAUGUGUAAGUAACUAUGCACGUCUUGACGGUACCUAAUCAGAAAGCCACGGCUAACUACGUG
rnacentral:rRNA from 1 species